GAUGAACGCUUUUGGGAGGCCUAACACAUGCAAGCCGAGCGGUAUUGUUUCUUCGGAAAUGAGAGAGCGGCGUACGGGUGCGGAACACGUGUGCAACCUGCCUUUAUCUGGGGGAUAGCCUUUCGAAAGGAAGAUUAAUACUCCAUAAUAUAUUGAACGGCAUCGUUUAAUAUUGAAAGCUCCGGCGGAUAGAGAUGGGCACGCGCAGGAUUAGCUAGUUGGUGAGGUAACGGCUCACCAAGGCGAUGAUCUUUAGGGGGCCUGAGAGGGUGAUCCCCCACACUGGUACUGAGACACGGACCAGACUCCUACGGGAGGCAGCAGUGAGGAAUAUUGGUCAAUGGGUGCAAGCCUGAACCAGCCAUCCCGCGUGAAGGACGACUGCCCUAUGGGUUGUAAACUUCUUUUGUAUAGGGAUAAACCUACCCUCGUGAGGGUAGCUGAAGGUACUAUACGAAUAAGCACCGGCUAACUCCGUGCCAGCAGCCGCGGUAAUACGGAGGGUGCAAGCGUUAUCCGGAUUUAUUGGGUUUAAAGGGUCCGUAGGCGGACUUAUAAGUCAGUGGUGAAAGCCUGUCGCUUAACGAUAGAACUGCCAUUGAUACUGUAAGUCUUGAGUAUAUUUGAGGUAGCUGGAAUAAGUAGUGUAGCGGUGAAAUGCAUAGAUAUUACUUAGAACACCAAUUGCGAAGGCAGGUUACCAAGAUAUAACUGACGCUGAGGGACGAAAGCGUGGGGAGCGAACAGGAUUAGAUACCCUGGUAGUCCACGCCGUAAACGAUGCUAACUCGUUUUUGGGCUUUAGGGUUCAGAGACCAAGCGAAAGUGAUAAGUUAGCCACCUGGGGAGUACGCUCGCAAGAGUGAAUCUCAAAGGAAUUGACGGGGGCCCGCACAAGCGGUGGAUUAUGUGGUUUAAUUCGAUGAUACGCGAGGAACCUUACCAAGACUUAAAUGGGAAUUGACAGCUUUAGAAAUAGAGCUUUCUUCGGACAAUUUUCAAGGUGCUGCAUGGUUGUCGUCAGCUCGUGCCGUGAGGUGUUAGGUUAAGUCCUGCAACGAGCGCAACCCCUGUCACUAGUUGCCAUCAUUCAGUUGGGGACUCUAGUGAGACUGCCUACGCAAGUAGAGAGGAAGGUGGGGAUGACGUCAAAUCACCACGGCCCUUACGUCUUGGGCCACACACGUAAUACAAUGGCCGGUACAGAGGGCAGCUACACAGCGAUGUGAUGCAAAUCUCGAAAGCCGGUCUCAGUUCGGAUUGGAGUCUGCAACUCGACUCUAUGAAGCUGGAAUCGCUAGUAAUCGCGCAUCAGCCAUGGCGCGGUGAAUACGUUCCCGGGCCU
rnacentral:rRNA from 1 species